CCUACGGGGUGCUGCAGUGGGGAAUAUUGGACAAUGGGCGAAAGCCUGAUCCAGCCAUGCCGCGUGUGUGAAGAAGGCCUUCGGGUUGUAAAGCACUUUCAGUGGGGAAGAAAGCCUUGGGGCUAAUACCCUCGAGGAAGGACAUCACCCACAGAAGAAGCACCGGCUAACUCCGUGCCAGCAGCCGCGGUAAUACGGAGGGUGCGAGCGUGAAUCGGAAUUACUGGGCGUAAAGCGCGCGUAGGCGGUCUGAUAAGCCGGUUGUGAAAGCCCCGGGCUCAACCUGGGAACGGCAUCCGGAACUGUCAGGCUAGAGUGCAGGAGAGGAAGGUAGAAUUCCCGGUGUAGCGGUGAAAUGCGUAGAGAUCGGGAGGAAUACCAGUGGCGAAGGCGGCCUUCUGGACUGACACUGACGCUGAGGUGCGAAAGCGUGGGUAGCAAACAGGAUUAGAUACCCUAGUAGUC
rnacentral:rRNA from 1 species